GAUCCUGGCUCAGAACGAACGCUGGCGGCAUGCCUAACACAUGCAAGUCGAACGAGACCUUCGGGUCUAGUGGCGCACGGGUGCGUAACGCGUGGGAAUCUGCCCUUUGCUUCGGAAUAACAGUUAGAAAUGACUGCUAAUACCGGAUGAUGUCUUCGGACCAAAGAUUUAUCGGCAAAGGAUGAGCCCGCGUAGGAUUAGGUAGUUGGUGGGGUAAAGGCCUACCAAGCCGACGAUCCUUAGCUGGUCUGAGAGGAUGAUCAGCCACACUGGGACUGAGACACGGCCCAGACUCCUACGGGAGGCAGCAGUGGGGAAUAUUGGACAAUGGGCGCAAGCCUGAUCCAGCAAUGCCGCGUGAGUGAUGAAGGCCUUCGGGUCGUAAAGCUCUUUACCAGGGAUGAUAAUGACAGUACCUGGAGAAUAAGCUCCGGCUAACUCCGUG
rnacentral:rRNA from 1 species